UCCUUGGUGGCUCAGAUGGUAAAGUGCCUGCCUAUAAGCAGGAGAUCCAGGUUCGAUACCUGGGUCAGGAA
rnacentral:tRNA from 1 species